rnacentral:rRNA from 1 species
UAAAAUCAAAUCAAAGGAACUUGUUUUUUAAUCGAUAAUACUCGAUAAAUUUCACUAUAUUUAAUAGCUUAUAUACCUCCGUUUAAACUUUUUUAACAUAAUUUAUUAUAACCAUAUUUAAUACUUCAGGUCAAGGUGUAGCCUAUAAUAUAGAUAAAAUAAGUUACUAUAAAACCUAUUUAUAGAAAUAAAGCAAAUUUAAAUAAAACAGGAUUUAACUACAAUAAUUUAAUAAUAAGUAAUUAUGAAUAUCAUUUGAAC